GUAGGUGGCAAGCGUUGUCCGGAAUUAUUGGGGCGUAAAGCGCGCGCAGGCGGUUCGUUUAAGUCUGAUGUGAAAGCCCACGGGCUCAACCGUGGAGGGUCAUUGGAAACUGGAGAACUUGAGUACAGAAGAGGAAAGCGGAAUUCCACGUGCAGCGGUGAAAUGCGUAGAGAUGUGGAGGAACACCAGUGGCGAAGGCGGCUUUCUGGUCUGUAACUGACGCUGAGGCGCGAAAGCGUGGGGAGCAAACAGGAUUAGAUACCCUGGUAGUCCACGCCGUAAACGAUGAGUGCUAAGUGUUACGGGGGGUUCCGCCCCUUAGUGCUGCAGCUAACGCAUUAAGCACUCCGCCUGGGGAGUACGGCCGCAAAGGCUG
rnacentral:rRNA from 1 species